UACGAAGGGGGCUAGCGUUGCUCGGAAUCACUGGGCGUAAAGCGCACGUAGGCGGCUUUCUAAGUCAGGGGUGAAAUCCCGGAGCUCAACUCCGGAACUGCCUUUGAUACUGGGGAUCUUGAGUCCGGGAGAGGUGAGUGGAACUGCGAGUGUAGAGGUGAAAUUCGUAGAUAUUCGCAAGAACACCAGUGGCGAAGGCGGCUCACUGGCCCGGUACUGACGCUGAGGUGCGAAAGCGUGGGGAGCAAACAGG
rnacentral:rRNA from 1 species